rnacentral:rRNA from 1 species
AUGAAGCAUGUGCUUACUAUGAUAGUGAUGAACCAUGUACAUGUAUCCUUCUGCUUCCAUGGAUUGUCCGUAGUGCUCGUUGAGCCAACUACUCCUGCUGCUGCUGCCGCUGCACUCAAGCUAGCAGCAGCAAAGGCAAAGAAGGAUGGUAGGUCAAACAACAUGAAGUGGCAGCCGUUCAUGUCCACGUUCGUGCUGAACAAGAUGUGUGAGCUCAUCUCUAGUGGAGUUAGGACUGACAAGGGCUUCAAGGAGGUGCAUUUGAACACCGUUGCGAAGCAGGUGUUCGAGUUCUGUGGGCAAGAGGUGUCUGCCACCCAGGUGUACAACCACCUGAGGAAGUGGAGAAGUCGAUGGAUCCAAGUGUCCAGGCUGAGAGACCUUAGCGGUGCCUCAUGGGAUGAGAACACUUGCUCCAUAGUUCUGGAGGCAGAGCACUAUGCGGGCUAUGUCGCGGGUGGCUUCAGCGACGAGGCUCUCAUGGCAGCUCUCAGCCACCUGCUUGAUAACAAGGCCCAGGGUGUUGGGUUCGUUGCCAUGGCCGACGCUCACAGGGGCAAGUGGUAUGCCGUGUUCGUUGGUAAGGUCCAGGGGUUUAUAGUUCAUGGGAAGAGGCCAGUGCACAAGUGGAAUCUUAUAGCAACAGCACCCAUAGAGGGUUCGAGACUAGGCAGGCAGCAGAACAAGCUUACUCCGACUGGGUGCGAACGCACGACAGCAGUGUUGACAGUCGCAAGGUUUGAGGUGUCAAGGUGGAUCGUCAGUUUGGGCUGA